AGCAAUAUCCCAGCAAGGCUUCUCCAUUCCUAGUUCCAAUUUCUCCCCACCAGGACUUUGGAUGGAUGGAGACUCAUGAGCUGGAAGCACUGAAAGUUCUAGAGGAGGAGAGCCUGCUCUGCAUGGGAUCCUGCCCUGCAUUGUGUGUUGUAGGGACCAGUGAAAAGAAUGAGGAAUGGUUGUUCUCCCCAUCAGUUCAUGAAAUACUUGAAACAAGGUUGGAGAAGAGGUGGAGCCUGUGGAAUUUGGGCCUGAUCUGUGGCCCCUCAAGGGAAGGCUGACACUGGGCCAGAUGAAGACACCUGUGCCUCAUCCCAGCAGCUAAGAAGUUGUUGAACCAGCGGGCUGGAGCCCACCUCCCUCAGUCUGCCCAACGUCGAGCCUGGCAGUAUCAGGGCACCACCCCUGGAGAGAAGCACCCAGGCCCCUGGCUACCUACAGGACCUCUCCUCAUCUAGUUCCUACUGAAGAGCUCACAGAUCACAGAGAAUACUCUGGUCCUGCUGAAGCAGCAGAUUUUAUUUUUCAGUAAUCUCUACACCCAACAUGGGGCUCGAACUCACAA